ACUAGCAUUUCAUAUUCAUCAAAUAUGUCAUAUUUGUCUCUAAGGGCUGUGAGGUUCUCCUCGAUCAAGAUAGAUCCCUCUGUCUCUGGAUUGGAUAGUUCAUGAGACCAUGCAUGGAAGAUUUCGCACUAUGAUCCGAACUCUUCUUGCCUAACAAGCCGAUUUCAUGAUCUUUUCGGGGUGCAUUUUUUAUCUCUAUGGC
rnacentral:lncRNA from 1 species